AUGUACUUUUUGGUCUUUAGAUUAAUUUUUUUUGAUCAUUUCUAAUAUUUAGAUUAAUACAAUUAUUCUGUGAAGAUCACUUAAUUUUAAAAAUACUGCUCAAUCCUAAGGGAGAUUUCAAUUAAAUUAACCGUAUAAUUUUUAAUCCAAUAGUCAAAAAAUUAAAAAUAUCAAAUUCUCUAUACUUUCGAUAUACAUAUGUAUAUAUGCAUACAUACAAGACGUUUAGCCUGACGUAUGGGCCCCUACUAAUGUAGGUCCCACGUCACUUACGGUUGUGGCAUGUAAUUUUAUAUAGAAUUAAUUUUAUAUGGGUUUCUAUAAAUAUAAUGACUGCCAAAUAUAUUUCUACAAAGUUCAACUUUUAUAUCUUGUUUCUUUAAAAGUUCUGAUAUUUUCAAAUUUGUUUUUCUGAUUUGUUACUGUUAGAAAACUGUUAGAGAAUAGUUUAUUUUUUUAAUUUUGCCAUCAUAAAUAUAUUUUUCUAAAAAUCUUAACAAUAUAAUAUAAGAAAGAUAAAAGCGUCAAAAAUUAACUAGAAUUAAGUAUUAACUUAUAGUUAACUAAAUUUUUCUAACGGAUUCUAACAAGAGUAAUAUAUUUGAAAAAUAUCAAAACUUUUAUAGAAAUAAUAUAUAAAAAUUAAAUUUUAUAAAAAUAUAUUUGUCAUUAAUUAUAUUUGUAAGAAUCACUGUAAAAUUAAUCUUUUUGUAUAUGU
rnacentral:lncRNA from 1 species